ensembl:lncRNA LINC00327 long intergenic non-protein coding RNA 327
AUUCGUGGUGAUGCUAAGGACCGGAAGGGUCUUUAACCUUUUCUCUCCCUCCUAGCUCAGCCCUCACGGAACCCUAAAAGCUGGCUAAGGGGCCAUUCUCCUCGCCACCUGGGCCUGCGUCUGCCGAAUCGCUUCCUAAGGACUUUGACUAGAAACCAAAGGUCCCAUUUUUCAUCUGCCAUUUAUUUAUCAUUGCAUAACUUAGUGAAAGCAUAUUGACUUUCCUGACUUCUUAUGACCACAUUUGAGGAAAGGAGUAAGCACUGGAAUCACCAACACAGCAUGCUUACGGAGGGUGGUCACCAGCUUCAUCAGCCUCCCAAUUCCACGGAGCCCCUUGAAAAUCCAGGAGCGCAGACUGGCAACAGUAGAGAUUUAAUAGGAGUUUACUGGAGGUUAUACUCCAGUCAAAGAAGAUGGAAACCAAGAAAGGACACAUUUUGGAGAUUAGCACUGGCUCCAGGAACCCAGUGAACAGAAGACUCAGGCUGAAGGCUUGUGCAUUCAGCCCAGAGAAAAUCCACUUAAAUUCAGAACAAUUAAGGACUCUGGGGAAGAAGGACUUCACAUGGUAGUGUGAUUGGAAGGCAGAUAAAUUUUAGGACACAAUGGAAGUUCCUAAGAUUUUUUAUCCUUUUCCAAUAGGAAGGAUAAAAAAAUCAUCUAAAACUAGAGGAAAAAUCAUCUAAAACAAGGUAUAAAGAAAUGGCUCACGUGUGACCCUUAUUUUACUGUGACAUGGAGCAUUUGAUGAAGGAUGUGGGAAGGGAGCCUGCUUAACUAUGAAGUGAGUAGCAUCGCCCCAGGAGCACCAUGACAGAUGCACAGGACAUGGAGGGAAGGAAAUGGCAUCCUGGCACAGCCCUGGCUCUACAUUGAGCAAUGUAGACAAAAUCAUAAAGGCUGCUCUAGUUUUCUACUUUUAGAAUCAACCUACAGACAUGUAAGACUUAAUUGUAGUUGUAGAAUAAAAGAUAAAAGAUUAUUGGCUUUCAUAACAAUAAAGUCCUAACAAUGAUUCACAGUUAUUCCAUGAAUAAGGGUAGGGGAAAAGAGGGAGGAAUGUAAGGCAUUUUAUAUGGAGCAAGGGAGGCAAAAGACGUUGACAGAGGCUUAUGGAACAACACACACACGCACACAAAUAGAAGGAAUAUAUUGCUUAAAAUGACAAAAAUAGCCAACAUAGGCUGGGUGCGGUGGCUCAUGCCUGUAAUCCCAGCACUUUGGGAGGCUGAGGCGGACGGAUCACUUGAAGCCAGGAGUUCAAGACCAGCCUGGCCAACAUGGUGAAACCCCGUCUCUACUAAAAAUACAAAAAUUGACUGGGCGCAGUGGUGUGCAUCUGUAGUUCCAACUACUUGGGAGGCUGAGGCAGGAGAAUCACUUGAAUCCGGGAGGCGGAGGUUGCAGUGAGCCGAGAUCACGCCACUGCAUCCUAGCCUGGGUGACAGAGUGAGACCGUCUGAAAAAGAAAAAAGCCAACAUAGGAAUUUUUAAAAUAAUAUAUAAUUACCAAAAAUUGGGGAAAAUAGAGACAGGGAAGGCAGUUCUAUAAGCGAGAUAAAUCUUUAUCUUUUGUAUCAGAAAGUCAAUAAAUAUUGUCUGAAUUUGA